GACGAACGCUGGCGGUGUGCUUAACACAUGCAAGUCGAACGGUAAGGCCCUUUCGGGGGUACACGAGUGGCGAACGGGUGAGUAACACGUGAGUAACCUGCCCUCAUCUCUGGGAUAACAGUCGGAAACGGUUGCUAAUACUGGAUAUGAGCCUGCAAGGCAUCUUGUGGGUUGGAAAGAUUUUUUGGUUGGGGAUGGACUCGCGGCCUAUCAGCUUGUUGGUGAGGUAGUGGCUCACCAAGGCUUCGACGGGUAGCCGGCCUGAGAGGGCGACCGGCCACAUUGGGACUGAGAUACGGCCCAAACUCCUACGGGAGGCAGCAGUGGGGAAUAUUGCACAAUGGACGGAAGUCUGAUGCAGCAACGCCGCGUGCGGGAUGACGGCCUUCGGGUUGGAAACCGCUUUCAAUUGUGACGAAGCUUUUUGUGACGGUAGCAGUAGAAGAAGCACCGGCUAACUACGUG
rnacentral:rRNA from 1 species